GUGGUAGCCGAGUGGGUAAAGCGCUUAUAGCUAUUUACUCGGUCGAUGGUUCGAUUCCAUCCUGGAGCA